CCCGUGAUAGUUCAGUUGGUAGAGCGGAGGACUGUAGAUCCUUAGGUCGCUGGUUCAAAUCCGGCUGGCGGGA
rnacentral:tRNA from 1 species